AUUAUAGAUGAUGAUGAGAUGGUUCACUUUAUUUUGAAUUGUCUUGACUAUAAUUAUAAUCCUUUUUGUGUCAUCUAUGCUUGGUUGUGUUGGUUUUCUCUCCCUCAGUGACUUGUAUUCUCAAUUGCUCACAUAUGAUC
rnacentral:snoRNA from 1 species